UCUCCCCACCAGUGCGACGCUCACAAGCGUUACACUUCCCUAACGUUUGUUUUCUGUCUUCCUGAUCGUAACGCCUGCUACUGUCAUUUAGCCACGCGGUUCUAUUGUUAAACGCGACUAGAAUUGUGCAUAUUUUACAUUGUCUUUUCCCCAGGUGUUCUAAAUAAAUUGGUCCCCUCGUAAUCUGAUCGCUAGAUUGCGACUGGACUGCUUAAUACAGUCAAACUCGGGUUUUAGUCCCGUCGGCUGCGCCGAUACAGUUCCCUCUCUCGCUACUCCUGUCUCGCUCCACUGUUCUGGCAGAUCGUCCGGGGAAAACCACACUACCAGCGACGAAUCAUUUCGGUUUUCCGCCAGUUUGCUGUCGUCGACGCUGUCGUGAAGUGACGGAAAUAGUAAACGGACCUGCAAUGGAUCUUUAAAGAAACGAGAAAGCGCUCCAAACAGCUCUAGCAACCCGCGGAUUAAUAUUACUGUUAUCACUGCCCUUGUCUCGCGGUUGCAAGGAAGCUGUAGUUCAUUGUCCCUCCGGAACAAUGUUUGGCUGGGGCAAAUUUGCUGCAGUGUUGCGAAGUGCGGACGGACACCUUGUUCCCGUUUUGUUUCGAUUCCUUUCGUAUCGCACGGGAAGUAUUUCUGUAUAGAGUUAUCCGUGACCUUAUUUCCUUUACGUUUGCAGAUGCCGCCAUGGCGGUCAUUGCUUGCGACAUCAGCAACAAGGGCAUUUGAGAAACAAGGACCAAACACCGUCCAUCCUAGCCUGGUCUUAACCGCGAUCGGUUCAUGUAUGUCACCCUCGAUGCAUCG